rnacentral:rRNA from 1 species
UACAUAGGUCUCAAGCGUUGUUCGGAUUCAUUGGGCGUAAAGGGUGCGUAGGCGGCGUGGUAAGUCGGGUGUGAAAUUUCGGAGCUUAACUCCGAAACUGCAUUCGAUACUGCUGUGCUUGAGGACUGGAGAGGAGACUGGAAUUUACGGUGUAGCAGUGAAAUGCGUAGAGAUCGUAAGGAAGACCAGUGGCGAAGGCGGGUCUCUGGACAGUUCCUGACACUGAGGCACGAAGGCCAGGGGAGCAAACGGG